rnacentral:rRNA from 1 species
UUCYGGUUGAUCCYGCCRGACCUGACUGCUAUCGGAUUGAUACUAAGCCAUGCGAGUCUUUGUAGUAAUACAAGGCAGACGGCUCAGUAACACGUAGUCAACCUACCCUAUGGACAAGAAUAAUCUCGGGAAACUGGGCAUAAUUCUUGAUAGAUCAUAAUGCCUGGAAUGGUUUAUGGUUAAAAUGAUUCGUCGCCAUAGGAUGGGACUGCGGCCUAUCAGCUUGUUGGUGAGGUAAUGGCCCACCAAGGCGAUUACAGGUACGGGCUCUGAGAGGAGAAGCCCGGAGAUGGGUACUGAGACACGGACCCAGGCCCUAUGGGGCGCAGCAGGCGAGAAAACUUUGCAAUGUGCGAAAGCACGACAAGGUUAAUCCGAGUGAUUUCUGCUAAAGAAAUCUUUUGCCAGUCAUAAAACCACUGGUGAAUAAGGGGUGGGCAAGUUCUGGUGUCAGCCGCCGCGGUAAAACCAGCACCUCAAGUGGUCAGGAUGAUUAUUGGGCCUAAAGCAUCCGUAGCCGGCUUUGUUAGUUUUCGGUUAAAUCCAUGUGCUCAACGCAUGGGCUGCCGAAAAUACUGCAUGGCUAGGGAGUGGGAGAGGUAGACGGUACUCAGUAGGAAGGGGUAAAAUCCUUUGAUCUAUUGAUGACCACCUGUGGCGAAGGCGGUCUACCAGAACACGUUCGACGGUGAGGGAUGAAAGCUGGGGGAGCAAACCGGAUUAGAUACCCGGGUAGUCCCAGCUGUAAACGAUGCAGACUCGAUGAUGCAUUGGCAUAAUAGCCAGUGCAGUGUCGCAGGGAAGCCGUUAAGUCUGCCGCCUGGGAAGUACGUACGCAAGUAUGAAACUUAAAGGAAUUGGCGGGGGAGCACCACAAGGGGUGAAGCCUGCGGUUCAAUUGGANUCAACGCCGGY